UACGUAGGGUGCAAGCGUUGUCCGGAAUUAUUGGGCGUAAAGAGCUUGUAGGCGGUUUGUCGCGUCUGCUGUGAAAUUUCGGGGCUCAACCCCGAACUUGCAGUGGGUACGGGCAGGCUAGAGUGUGGUAGGGGAGACUGGAAUUCCUGGUGUAGCGGUGAAAUGCGCAGAUAUCAGGAGGAACACCGAUGGCGAAGGCAGGGCGCUGGGCCACGACUGACGCUGAGAAGCGAAAGCAUGGGGAGCGAACAGG
rnacentral:rRNA from 1 species